rnacentral:rRNA from 1 species
UACGGGGGAGCAAGCGUUGUUCGGAUUUACUGGGCGUAAAGGGCGCGUAGGCGGUCAGCACAAGUCAGUUGUGAAAUCUCCGGGCUUAACUCGGAAAGGUCAACUGAUACUGUGCGACUAGAGUGCGGAAGGGGCUACUGGAAUUCUCGGUGUAGCGGUGAAAUGCGUAGAGUAAUCGAGAGGAACACCUGCGGCGAAGGCGGGUAGCUGGGCCGACACUGACGCUGGAGGCGCGAAAGCCAGGGGAGCGAACGGG